ensembl:lncRNA
AAGAAAAAAAAAAUGCUCUUUGGGAACUGAAGCAAAAUAAAAAUGCCAAGAAUUAAAAAUGCAAAUUCAUCCAAGAUGUUUUCUGCCCAAGACGGCAAUGGCCACAUGGCUCGAUAACAUUUUAAAUGUUAAAAAAUGGGUAAUUUUCAGUAAAAAUCAAAUUUGCCAGAGCCCGAGUUUAAACGAAUCCCAUAUAGCACUCGGGCACCCGGCCAAUAUUCAUGAACAACGAGUCCCUUCAGAAGGUUAUGUACCAUUAAAAUGAGGAGAAAACACAAACUUCGCAUAUGCACCGCUGGUCCUUGGGAAUCGGGAAAGCAUGGGUGGCUGGGUAUGGAUCCAGCUACGCCUUGGCCGUUUCCCUCCCUGUACCGGUUGCCCCAUCUGCAAAAUGGACACAAGUAAAAUCCAACUCUGAGCUUUAUAGUAAGGCUUUGUAGGAGUUCCCAUCAUGGCUCAGCGGAAACGAGUCUGACUAGCAUCCAUGAGGAAGCAGGUUCGAUCCCUGGCCUGGCUCAGUGGGUUAAGGAUCUGGCGUUGCCAUGAGCUGCAGUGUAGGUCACAGACACAGCUCGGAUCUAGCAUUGCUAUGACUGUGGUGUAGAACUUCCAUAUGCCAUGAGUUCAGCCCUAUAAAGAAAAAAAGAAAAGAAAAGAAAAAAAGCCCCCAUCUAGCCAGAGGGGUCAGGGCUCAAAACAAAAACCAACGCCUCCCCCAUGGUCAUUUUCUUGUGAUUUCCUUGCUCAGAAAGUGGGGGGGGGUGGUGGCUGGGCUUACUGCUGGGGACACCUGAGCUCAAAUCCCCCUCCAUUUCUUACGGGCCAUGAGACCUCUGAGGGCCUCAGUGUCCCCAACUGUAAAAUGGGACCCUGGUGGGCCCCACCUUCCGGCCCUGUUGCGAGCACGACCCACACGAAGAUUUGAAUCCCUGUGUGGCCCACGGUAAGUGUCUAAGGCGGGAGGCUUUUUAAUGCUCCUUACUGCUCUGUCUCACUGCUCUUCCUCAAAGCAGCUGCCACCCUGGUGUCCCUUGGUCUAAGAGGACUCCUGCAUCUGACCAAGGUGUUCCCCCUUAGAUGACGAGGUGUUGGGGGGGACCAGCCCCCUUGCACUGGGUGCUGCUCAGGACCCAGCUGGAGACACAGCAAGAGCCUCGCCACUCACCUGGAUUAUCCCCUCACCCCAAAGUCAGAUUUGCCCUCUUCUGCCCGGAUAGGGAUGGAGACACAGGUGGUUGCAGGCGACCCAUGAGGGACCACAGAUAGAGAAACCUAGAGGAUGCUGGGAGACCACCGUAAGUUAACAAUUGCUCAAGAAAGCCGUCAGAACCAGGCAGGCUUGCUUGACUAGUGGAGGUGAGAACUGCCUCAGGUCGUCCGGUGGGGAUGGGAUGAGGCCUGCAUUCAGACUCAGACCCAGGGCGGGAGUUUGAGGACCAUCCUUCAGCUGAUUUGAAUACACACCUUACCAGAUAAGAAGGAGGAGCUACCAAGAAAGAAGAAGAGGCGCAUUUUCCAACUCCCACUCCCCUUGGAGGAUAAAACCAUAGCCCACCUGUAGCCCACCUGAUCCCAGGGCUUUCUCGCCUGCCUGCUUGCAUCUCUCACAAGCGUUCUAUCUGAAUAAAUCUAUUUCUUGCCUAUCACUUUGUCUCUCGCUGAAUUCCUUCUGCGCUGAGGCACAAGGAACCUGAACCCCAGUGAGUCCAGACACAGGGUUUGUGAUUCUAAUUUAAAACUGUGGGUUCAGAGGGUUCCCUUCACGGCUCGGUGGUUAACGAAUCCGACUAGGAACCAUGAGGUUGCGGGUUCAAUCCCUGGCCUUGCUCAGUGGGUUAAGGAUCUGGCAUUGCCAUGAGCUGUGAUGUAGGUCACAGACGCGGCUGGGAUCCCCCAUUGCUGUGGCUGUGGU